UUGAUUGAAACCAAAAAGAGGUAUUUUAUUGUUAAUAAAAUAAUUGAAAUUAGAUUUCCAAUUAAA
rnacentral:tRNA from 1 species